UCUAUUUUAAAUCACACUGUUUAUGUCUUAAUAGCCUUUUAAUUAGAAACAGUGGAGAGUUAAUGCAAAGCUUAACAUCAACUGCAUUUCACGCAAGGUAGUGAUGGUGGGUUUGCCAGACAAACUGAGAUGACUUAGGUUUAUGUGCACACCCUCCCAUGAAAAGCGUCAUGUUCUACUAAGUUUGUCAUCUAUUCUUCGACAUUCCUCAUCAUACGUUUUCUCAAUGGGUAUAUCCAUAUAUUACGCGUACGAUAAAGCACCACAGCAACUAAAACUCUUGUUGUGGCUUCAUAUAUGCCUGUUUGAUACUCGAAGCUGAGAGCCACAUUUGCUCCUAGUGCCCAUCUUACUCAGUUUAUCAUAACGUGUUCAGCUGUCGAGUCGAAAAAUCAUGUAUCUAUUGUUUGAGCAUUUAAAAUGAAACGUAAUAUCUACCGAUUGGGUUUGUUUACAACUAUCGUUAUUAUAGCGCAUUUCAACUUUGCUAAAAGUGGUCAAGCCAGUGAGUCACAAUUGACAGCAAACAAUGGAUAUACAUAUUUGAGAGAUCUACCCCUGUCCCAAUUGUUAAAACUACAAAAAUCAGUUUGUGACUUAUCUCAGUGCAGUUCACGGAACACUACUUUGUUAUCAUUAGAAAAACGAAAUGAGAUCGCAGGAACAUUAAACCACGAGAGUUACGAAACGAUAACAGCACUACCACUUACGGAAAGAUUUAGCAGGAGAAGCUCUAUAGAACCAUGGGACUCGAGGCCAAGUAAAAUUCAAUCUAUAUUUCAAAUUAGUGUUACCGCCUUGGCAUUUUUGGCUUUUGCUAGUUAUCUAUUAUGUAUGAUUGUUCAAGCAAUCAAAAGUAAAGGGACUACUUAUUUUCAUCCAACAAUAACAUCAAGUGCAACGUUAUCAAAUGCUGUAAAAAAACGAAGACCAUUAGGCAGGAAAAGACGUAAUGUAGCAAAUGGAAAUAUAACAACAAUCGAGGGCAACCUACAUGCUGGACCGGACCCGGAGGAAAUCUAUUCAUAUCUAUUAAUAAUGUCUAAUGCUUAUGUAAAAUUUAAUGCAAUUGAUAAAUAGUAGUAAUU